UCUUAUUGAAGUGGCUAAUUUGGUUUUGGAUUGCCAGGGAGAGGCAGCAUUGGUAGCAAGUAAUAAUGUGCAUGGUUCGAGCACGAAUUCACUCCCAGUUAGUUGUAGACCCAGGCGGAUAGUAAUGGGGAAUUCUUAGCUGCAAAAAAUGGUCCGGUCCGUUGUCUAAAUAAUGCGCAUUAGCCCUUGCAGUGAAGGAAGCUCUAUCUUGGGUUAAGGAGUUGGGUUUUACAAAGAUGGUCAUUUUUUC